rnacentral:ncRNA from 1 species
CAAAGAAAGGUCUUCCUAUCAUUGUGAAGCAGAAUUCACCAAGCGUUGGAUUGUUCACCCACUAAUAGGGAAUGUGAGCUGGGAUUAGACCGUCGUGAGACAGGUU